rnacentral:tRNA from 1 species
CGAAUCAUAGUUCAAUUAGUGAAUAUUCUACUUACACUGGAAAGUUUUACUGUGCAAUUCAGUUUGAUUUGA